rnacentral:rRNA from 1 species
UACGGAGGGUGCAAGCGUUAUCCGGAUUCACUGGGUUUAAAGGGUGCGUAGGCGGGCAGGUAAGUCAGUGGUGAAAUCUCCGGGCUCAACCCGGAAACUGCCAUUGAUACUAUUAGUCUUGAAUUUUGUUGAGGUAGGCGGAAUAAGUCAUGUAGCGGUGAAAUGCUUAGAUAUGACUUAGAACACCAAUUGCGAAGGCAGCUUGCUAAACAAACAUUGACGCUGAGGCACGAAAGCGUGGGGAUCAAACAGG